rnacentral:rRNA from 1 species
UACGGAGGGGGCUAGCGUUGUUCGGAAUUACUGGGCGUAAAGCGCGCGUAGGCGGACCUGCAAGUCGGGGGUGAAAGCCCGAGGCUCAACCUCGGAACUGCCUUCGAUACUGCGGGUCUCGAGUCCGGGAGAGGUGAGUGGAAUUCCUAGUGUAGAGGUGAAAUUCGUAGAUAUUAGGAAGAGCACCAGUGGCGAAGGCGGCUACACUGGCCCGGUACUGACGCUGAGGCGCGAAAGCGUGGGGAGCAAACAGGG